UACAGAGGUCCCAAGCGUUGUUCGGAUUCACUGGGCGUAAAGGGUGCGUAGGCGGUCGGGUAAGUCUGAUGUGAAAUCUCACAGCUUAACUGUGAAACUGCAUUGGAUACUAUCCGGCUAGAGGAAUGGAGGGGAGACUGGAAUACUUGGUGUAGCAGUGAAAUGCGUAGAUAUCAAGUGGAACACCAGUGGCGAAGGCGAGUCUCUGGACAUUUCCUGACGCUGAGGCACGAAAGCAAGGGGAGCAAACGGG
rnacentral:rRNA from 1 species